UCCAAGCUCUCCCUAUUUCCCCCUCUCUUUCUCCCUGUCCUGCUAAACGGGGGUGUCUUAAAUCUUAAUCAGAAAUAGUCAAGCAUCAUAACUAUAAAACCCAAUUCAAGAACACUCAAAUUCACCCUUUGUUACAUCAAAUUCCCCCUUAUCUGGAUCUUGUUAUUAUGAUCGAUGGAGAUUUCUGCUUGUGUCAUUUCUUGAUUUCUGGAUCUUGUUAAUUAUUUUCUCUUUCGUUUUCUCAGAGGCUGCGAGAUCUUCCAUUUCUUCUUCGAAGGUCAUUGAAUGAUUUGCUAGACCCUCAAAGAUCUUUGCCAUUCGUCAUCAAAGCUCGGAUUUAUUUGGCAGUGUUCUUCAGUGCCAUAUACGUAUUGAGUCCAGUGGACAUUAUCCCUGAAGGCCGAAAGUUGAAAAUCAAACUGAUCGAGGAUGAUCAACCUGCAAAAAACAACAUUACAUCUGCUGAUUCUUCAGGAUUUUUAGAUGUAUGAAUCCGAUACUCAGAUGGUUAAAUAUGCGUCACAAGACUCACAACAUCUGCUGAAUAUGUAGAUGAUAUCCUGGGAGGACCACCCCAAACAGACCAUCAGACAGAGCAAAAAGAAAUCAACACUAAGGAAAGAGGGGGGAUUCUGAAGGUGGUUUUGGGCAACUUUGUGGGACUGGAUGUAGCAAUAACUGUUCCCUUACUAAUAUUGUCUAUACUCCGAGGAAUGCGCCUUAUGCUAGUGAGGAAAUGGAAGUGGUUCGUGAGCAAUGGGCUAAGUUUAUUACGAGGAAGUAUUUAUUAUUUGCAUGAGCGCGUUUGAUCGAGUUGGUUUAGAUGUUAUAGAA